UGACCCCCUCCCCCACCCUAGGACGGGCGCCUGCUCCAGGAAUUCAACAAGAUCGAGCCGCCGCUCAUCUUUGAGUGCAACCAGGCCUGCACCUGCUGGAGGAGCUGCAAGAACCGGGUGGUGCAGAGCGGCAUCAAGGUCCGUCUGCAGCUGUACCGGACGGCCAAGAUGGGCUGGGGGGUGCGAGCCCUUCAAGCCAUCCCCCAAGGGACCUUCAUCUGCGAGUACGUGGGAGAGCUGAUUUCGGACGCAGAGGCCGACGUGCGGGAAGACGACUCGUACCUCUUUGACCUGGACAACAAGGUGCGGGGGCAGGGACGCCUGGGAGUGAGAGGGGGGCAGGGAUAAGUG